AUGAGCCAUCUCAAGCAUCCCUGUACACAUCGUGACACCCUGAUGACUUAAGAGCUGAGUCCUCAACAUGGCUUACACCAGAAUCACCUAGCGACCUCCUUAAACCACGGAAGCCUGGGUCAUGCCUGAAGAGCAUCUGCUGGAUUCGACCCACUGACGUUUCAGAGAGCACCUUCACUACAGGGAGGGGCUGCCCAAAGGGAGAACUCGCCAAGGGAAGAAGAACAAGUUCGGCAUACAAAGAGCAUCCGAUGAAGGUCUCGGUGUUCAGAUGCGUUGCAUUUGAUACUUUUCAAAGUCUCUAAGAAUAAAAAUUUGGGCUGAAAGCCCAACACACUUGCUCA